ensembl:ncRNA Y44A6C.4 ncRNA
UCUCUGCGUCUAUAGGAUUAGCGGGCUCUGCCAACUUCACGGUAGAGCGUACAUUCAUUGUUUUUAUGGAGAAUCAACAUGUUCAUUGCCUUUUU